CUGCCAGAAUUCAUAUGCUUGUCCCGAAGACUCAAGCCAUGCAUGCCUAGAAGAAAAAUUAACGCCCAACUGGGCCUUGGGGUUCCCCAACUCCUAUAGGCCCGACCGGGAUGUUAAGGAAUCAGCGAACGGCUCCGCAUAUCUGUUGCUACCCUUUCGUGGUAAAUGUGGCGUGGAUAGAGCACGGAAAAGCUGUGUAUAAUACAUACAAGUGGGGCAACGGCCGGUCGGGUGGCACCGAUCGGUCGGAUAAAUGGGGGCCCAUAUCUAUGGGCUCUCUGCCUCAUUAACAGCUCCCAGAGUACGGGAUUUGGCCGGGCGGGCCUUGGGCCUGCCUGGUGGGAGCCCCGAAACGGAGGCCUCUGUGUAACAUGGACUAGCCUACCUUCCCUCCCACUAGGGGGAUCGUGCUUGAGCCUGUUCAUAGCAGAGACUAACCACAAGCGCACGAUGGGCUUCAGACCUAUCAGCUAGAUGGUAGGGUAUUGGCCUACCAUGGCUAUGACGGGUACAGAGGAUUAGGGUUUGAUCCUGGAGAGGUAGCCUGAGAAAUCGCUCCCACUUCUAAGGAAGGCAGCAGGCGCGUAACGUUCCCAAUGCUAGUAACCCUAGUGAGGACGUAAUGGGACAUAACAAUGCCUCUUUAAUAGUGGGCAAUGGCAAUGGGCGGCUAAC
rnacentral:rRNA from 1 species